rnacentral:rRNA from 1 species
AUUGAACGCUGGCGGCAUGCCUUACACAUGCAAGUCGAACGGCAGCACGGGAGCAAUCCUGGUGGCGAGUGGCGGACGGGUGAGUAAAGUAUCGGAACGUGCCCAGUCGCGGGGGAUAACGUAGCGAAAGUUACGCUAAUACCGCAUACGAUCUAUGGAUGAAAGCGGGGGAUCGCAAGACCUCGCGCGAUUGGAGCGGCCGAUAUCAGUUUAGGUAGUUGGUGGGGUAAGGGCUAACCAAGCCGACGAUCUGUAGCUGGUCUGAGAGGACGACCAGCCACACUGGGACUGAGACACGGCCCAGACGCCUACGGGAGGCAGCAGUGGGGAAUUUUGGACAAUGGGCGCAAGCCUGAUCCAGCCAUGCCGCGUGCAGGAUGAAAGCCUUCGGGUUGUAAACUGCUUUUGUACGGAACGAAAAGGUUUGACUUAAUACGUUGGACUCAUGACGGUACCGUAAGAAUAAGCACCGGCUAACUACGUGCCAGCCGCCGCCGUAA